rnacentral:misc_RNA from 1 species
GAUGAAGAACGUAGCGAAAUGCGAUAAGUAGUGUGAAUUGCAGAAUUCAGUGAAUCAUCGAAUCUUUGAACGCACAUUGCGCCUCCUGGUAUUCCGGGAGGCAUGCCUGUUCGAGCGUCAUUAAAAUCACUCAAGCUUAGGUUUACCUAUUGCUUGGUCUUGGAGAUGGAAGCCAAUUUAUUGGAAUCCUCUUCGAAAUUCAAUGGCGAAGACCCUUGCUCUCCCAAGUGUAGUAAUAACUUAUGUCACUGAAGGAAGCGAGAAAUCUUCUGCCGUAGCCCCCAUAUUUUCUAUGAUUGACCUCGGAUCAGGUAGGGAUACCCGCUGAACUUAAGCAUAUCAAUAAGCGGAGGA